AAUCAACGCUGGCGGCGUGCCUAACACAUGCAAGUCGAACGAGGAGAGGGGGCUUCGGUCCCUGAGUACAGUGGCGCACGGGUGAGUAACACGUGACUUAUCUACCCUCGAGUGGGGAAUAACUUCGGGAAACCGAGGCCUAAUACCGCAUAAUACCCACGGGUCAAAGGAGCAAUUCGCUUGAGGAGGAGGUCGCGGCCGAUUAGUUAGUUGGCGGGGUAAUGGCCCCACCCAAGACAGUGAUCGGUAUCCGGCCUGAGAGGGCGCACGGACACACUGGAACUGAAACACGGUCCAGACUCCUACGGGAGGCAGCAGUGGGGAAUUUUGCGCAAUGGGGGAAACCCUGACGCAGCAACGCCGCGUGGAGGAUGAAGUCUCUUGGGACGUAAACUCCUUUCGAUCGGGACGAUUAUGACGGUACCGGAAGAAGAAGCCCCGGCUAACUUCGUG
rnacentral:rRNA from 1 species